GCGGUUUUCCUCACUAUUUCUAUGUCACUCCUUCCCUCAUCCCUCAUUCUCACUGCACCGUCUCCCUCAUUUCCUUUUCCUCAUCUCACCAGACAUUCUCGUCCUUCAUCCUCGUUCUCCUCCCUCAUUCUUAUUCUUCGCCGUUCUUCAAUCCUCCCUCACCAGACGAAGUCUUCGUCGAGAUUUCCUUCAUCCUCCAGAUUUCUUCUCGUUGGUUGAGAUUUCCCUCAUCCUCACCAGUCGAAGACCUCGCGCUCGUAGUUCCUCGCGAAGCCUUUGUCAUUCCUCGCACUCGAAGCCUUCGUUGUUCAGAUCUUGUUUUCAUCAAAUUUUGUCCGUCCUCCUUUUCGUUGUUCGUCCUCCUUUUCGCUGGUCGCCGGACGUUGAAUCGCUCGAGUUCUUCCAGUUCUUGACUAUAUUACAGUUUCAUUUUUCAGUUUCUUAUUUUUUGUUUUAGGGUUAAUUUAUUUUUAGUUUUUUUAUUUUUUUUAAUAUUGUUAAUUAUAUUUUUUGUAAUUAGUCAUUUAGUUGUAACUGUUUUUUUAUUUUUACUUUUUCAUUUUUCUUUUUGAUCUUUUAUAUUAUUUAUGUAACUAGUUUUUUAUAUAUAUAUUAAUCAAAUUCAUGUCAUUUAAUCUU